rnacentral:rRNA from 1 species
UACGUAGGGGGCUAGCGUUGUCCGGAAUCAUUGGCGUAAAGCGCGCGUAGGCGGCCCGGUAAGUCCGCUGUGAAAGUCAAAGGCUCAACCUUUGAAUGUCAGCGGAUACUGCCGGGCUAGAGUCCGGAAGAGGCGAGUGGAACUCCUGGUGUAGCGGUGGAAUGCGCAGAUAUCAGGAGGAACACCAAUUGCGAAGGCAGCUCGCUGGGACGUUACUGACGCUGAGACGCGAAGCGUGGGGAGCAAACAGG